UAGGGAAUCUUCCGCAAUGGGCGCAAGCCUGACGGAGCAACGCCGCGUGAGUGAUGACGGCCUUCGGGUUGUAAAACUCUGUCUUCUGUGAAGAAUACGCCUGUGAGUGGAAAGCUCAGGCUUUGACGGUAACAGAGGAGGAAGCCCCGGCUAACUACGUGCCAGCAGCCGCGGUAAUACGUAGGGGGCAAGCGUUGUCCGGAAUCACUGGGCGUAAAGCGCGCGCAGGCGGUCAUUUACGUCUGGGGUGAAAGCCCGGAGCUCAACUCCGGGAUUGCCUUGGAUACGGGAUGACUUGAGGAUCGGAGAGGCAAGGGGAAUUCCACGUGUAGCGGUGAAAUGCGUAGAGAUGUGGAGGAACACCUGUGGCGAAGGCGCCUUGCUGGCCGAUUUCUGACGCUGAGGCGCGAAAGCGUGGGGAGCAAACA
rnacentral:rRNA from 1 species